GUGUUUGCUUCAGCAGCUCAUACACUAAAAUUGGAAUAUAGAGAAAAGUUUAACAUGAUCCCUGAAAUUAGGAUGACAUGCACAUUUGUAAAGCUUCCCAUAUUUUA